rnacentral:rRNA from 1 species
GACAGAGGGUGCAAACGUUGUUCGGAAUUACUGGGCGUAAAGCGCGUGUAGGCUGCUUCGCAAGUCGGGUGUGAAAGCCCUGGGCUCAACCUAGGAAGUGCACUCGAAACUGCGAAGCUGGAGUCCUGGAGAGGAAGGCGGAAUUCUCGGUGUAGAGGUGAAAUUCGUAGAUAUCGAGAGGAACCCCGGUGGCGAAGGCGGCCUUCUGGACAGUGACUGACGCUGAGACGCGAAAGCGUGGGGAGCAAACAGG